CCUUUUACCUCAGCAGCAGGGGCCUCAUCAUCGUCUGGAGAUGGGAUGAUCCUGCCGGUCAUGGGGCCGACCCCCAGGACUUUGGGCCUCUUAUCAGUCUUGGCUGCUCCCUCCAGCACCACUACAAUGUACUCCUUCUUGGGCGCCUCCACAGGUGCCACCACCACAACUGGGGCAGCCUCCACUGCAGCUGGGGCCUCUUUCAUCGCAGCCUCUUCUACGGGUGGGGACUCUUCUACGGGUGGGGCAGCUGGGACCUCCUCCACUGCAGCUGGGGCCUCCUCCACUGCAGCCUCCUCCACCUCAGGUGGGGUCUCUUCUAUGGUUGGGGCCUCUUCUACGGGUGUGGCCUCAAGUGGGGCAGCUGGGGCCUCCUCCACUGCAGCCUCCUCCACUGCAGCUGGGGCCUCCUUCACUGCAGCCUCUUCAAUGAGUUCAGCCUCAAGUGGGGCAGCUGGGGCCUCCUCCACAGCAGCCGGGGCCUCCUCCACAGCAGCCGGGGCCUCUUCCACAGCAGCCGGGGCCUCUUCCACUGCAGCCGGGGCCUCUUCCACUGCAGCCGGGGCCUCUUCCACUGCAGCCGGGGCCUCUUCCACUGCAGCCGGGCCUCUUCCACUGCAGCCGGGGCCUCUUCCACUGCAGCCGGGGCCUCUUCCACUGCAGCCGGGGCCUCUUCCACUGCAGCCGGGGCCUCUUCCACUGUAGCCGGGGCCUCCUCCACUGCAGCCGGGGCCUCCUCCACUGCAGCCGGGGCCUCUUCUACAGGUGCAGCCUCAAGUUGAGCAGCUGGGGGCUCCUCCACUGCAGCUGGGUCCUCUUCUACGGGUGCAGCCUCAAGUGGGGCAGCUGUGGCCUCCUCCACUGCAGCUGUUCCCUCCUCCACUGCAGCUGUGGCCUCCUCCACUGCAGCUGGGGACUCCACUGAGGCGGCCUCCUCGACUUCUUCUACAAUAGGCACAACCACUUCUUUGACCACUUCAGCGACUGUCGUCACCUCCAAAGCAGAGGCUGCUGCCAGAAUGACUGGUUCCACUGCAAGACAGAACCCAGCGCCCAAACAUCACUCACACUCAUGUUACAAAAAGACUGACUCACAAUUUAUCUCCAACUCAAUCAACAUAGCACAUAUGCACCCAGUGUGACAGAAGAAAGGAGAUCCAGGAAAACAGAGUUAGACAUGCCAACGUGAACAUUGUAGAAGUCUGUGCACAAUUCCCACGAGAUGGUGAAAGACGCAUUCUUGUUUAAAUAGUACAGUUUGACCAAAACCCUUACGGUCUCACCCCACUGUGUGGGUUAGGGAGAAUACACAGACCAACACGUAGCCAUUAGGCAGACAGAGGUCACAGGGAGAAGACCGACAAGGCAGCUUGCCAUGCAAAAACGUGACAUUAGUUAGAAAAAAACGAUGAUUUGUACAGACAUAGGUGUUAGCUUGUGCUUCUUCAGAUAGAAAGGCAAUCCGAAUGUGUUGAGACUACUUUUAGGUCACCCGUGCAUUUUUGUUGCGUUUGCAUCAACAUUGCACAGAUCAAAGUGUACUUUAACCAUGCAUUGACCUCUAUUGCAUGCAUCACUUGCUCCCCAAAAGUCCCAUAUCUAAAAGUUCCGCUGGACCAGUCAUUAAAACCUCUAUUUGUUGCACAUGAUGGUGAAUGAUGCAAAGCAGAAAUGCAUUGGACCAAUGCAGACUGUCAGGCUAUGGCAAGAAUGUACCCGCCAGAGCAUUGAGUGACCGCAAAACAUUGGGUGGUUUCGAGAGAGUUAGGAUGGAGCCUACUGUUGCAGAACUUCAACAUACAGGGUAGCAGUGGCAUGGGUGUAGAUGGCAUCGAAAUAAAGAUGCGGUGACAGGAGAAGCAUUGAAUGGAAGAGGGCACAGGAAGCAGUAGAAGUAACGAAGGAACAGUGUGUGGAAUAGCAGUUAACUGUACAUGACCAUUCCCCAUAUGGUGCACCUAUGCAACGCAACAUGCCUUUUAAGUGUGAACGAGUCAUUUCUAAUGUGAAUAGAAGACAUUCCAAAAAUAAGUCAUCAGAACAUACAGCAAAGACAGUACUUUUGCAUGUUGUCCACCAUCCUUCAUUAAAAAAAAAAUCAAAAAGAGGCCACCGCAAAUAAAAUAAAAUGCCUUCCUGACAAAUAUCACAAAGGAACACACACCAAAUGGGAUAAUGGUUUGAUUUCAAACAUUUGUCUUGAACUAGGGAGCUUUUCUGAUAUGUGUCCUGGGCUAAAGUAAAUUGUUUGUUGACUCAUGGGGUAACAGUGCAGAGGUGAAUGAACUCCUAGUGUCAGUGUGGUGGAUUUAUCCCUAGGUUCUUCAUGGUACAACCCGCAUAAUAUUAGAUCGGAAGUGUAUUGUCUUGUCAUUUGUCCUCGUGAUGGAAACCAUUGCUGCUUUGGAAAGACCUUGUAGGACACCCGAAAACCCUACAAGCAUAGCGUAUUAGCACAAGCAAACCAAACCCAGACAAACUCAACACGGGAGGGGAUCUUUCCAGUCAUUUUAUUGUAUGGCUCGAUGAAUUCCCUGAAUCACUUACACGACGACUCACUACGUUAGCUGUUUAAAAAAAAGAGCAAAUCUGAAUGACCACACAUGGUUGAUUUCCUCACAUUUUAACCUUGCGAGGUCAUUCCCUCCAAGUUCCACUUUUACAGUUAAGAAUGAAAACACACGGCAACCGUUUGUUUUGUUACAGCUACAGAGCUUGCACAGGUUUCAGCGUUUGUCUGUACGAGCAGAAGCCAUCACGCGGCUACAGAGGGUUUAGUGAAACAAAGUUAAAGUUACAUCGGCAUGUACCAACUCCGUGAUAUCUGGCAGAGAAGCAUAAGUUAAGAGGCGUAGAAAUGUACAGUUAUCCAUGUAAUAUCUCCCCAAAAAAGCCUGAGUAUUAGUGGUUGGUUGGCCGUGGACUGGUCUUACACAUUACAAAACAAAAUAAGAUAAUCAAAUGGAGCAUUUGAGGUGUUUUCCUGUUUGUGUUUGCAUGCGGCAUCGGGCCUCUGAGGGAAGGUAGGGGAGAGGUUAAAGGACAUUGAUACGUGAGGUCAGUGGAGCUUUGUAAACAGUGUUUGAGAGGAAGAAGGGAGAGAGGGAAGGGGUGAAUAAAGGUAGUUUGGAGGGGGAAAGGGGAAAUAAGCAGGUUUUUCAUCACAUUUCACUAUUGGGGGGAGGGGGCACAGUGAUUUGCACUAUUGUGUAUUUCCAUCCUUACUGUGAUAUGAGGUUGAGAUGGAUGACAUCACUGCCACUUUCUAAAAAGGUCUCACAGCGGUGAUCUGCUGUUCUGACUGAAUUCACAUGUAAAAGCUGUUUCAGCACUUUUACCAUCUGCUGGACUCACAACAAAUAUCCUGUACAUAGUCAGGAGAUUUUGAAAUACAGAAAAUCAAACCCCACACAAAAACCUUGAAGCUUCUGUCUUCUAGCUUUAAACACUUUCACUUACAAAACCAGCCAUACCAUUAUUUACUCUCUGCCCUCUAAGUAAACUCGAAUAAACUAGUAAAUAAAGUGUUCUCUUCGAGAGAAUAACCUUCACGGCAGAGGAGUCUAGCUCUACAGUGGUUUUAGAACCAGGUGAGAUCAGUGUUAGACGCUGUAGUGGUACUCUAUGGUGUAGGAACAGUGUACACAUAAUCUCCCUGUUGUUGCUGUCCUAUCGGAGUGCGUGUUCGGGCUGGUGGUGGACAGCGUGUGCCUCCCUGUGGUGUGUGUGCGUUACUCAGCAGCAACAGCAGCCUCUGGGACUGCCUCCUCCUCUGGGCCCGUACCGUUGAUCUCCUCCUCCGGCUCUUCCACGGCAACUGCCUCCUCAGCAGCCUCUUCCACGGCCACUUCCUCUGCUACUGCCUCCACUUCAUUUGCCACCUCGAUGACCUCUUCUGCGACCUCAGCAACAGCCUCUGUAAUCUCCUCCACCACAGUCUCCGCUUCCGCUGGUGCCACCUCUGCCUCUACUGCCGCUGCCUCCACAGCCGGUUCUUCAGAGACUGCCUCGGCCGCUGCUUCUGCCUCUACUGCCGCUGCCUCCACAGCCGGUUCUUCAGAGACUGCCUCGGCCUCUGCUUCUGCCUCGACUGAGGCCUCUUCCGCGGGUUCUGCUCCGUUUUCCGCCGCUACAGCCUCCUCAACUGCAGCCUCCUCUCCAGCCUCUUCUGCUGCUGCCUCCUCCUCCUCUCCUCCCUCCUCAGCCGCCUCCUCUGCUUCCUCCUCUACUCCCCAGGCUGCUGCUUCCUCACCUGAAAUUUUAAAAAAGAGUGAGAGAGAGAGACAGAAAAAGAUAUGAAUCAGUAAAGAUGGCAUGGGCCUUUGAAACACUGCCUGAGGAAGCUUUACAACACGAAAUAAGUAAGAGUAUUUGCAGGGCAUGUGAAAUACACUACUCACGCCUACAUAACACUAGCCUGUAAUAUAACAGAAUAUUCCGAUAAAGUACUACGUCUAUGUUUUUAUCUUAAAUCAUAUUUACAUUCAUUACUUAUCAUUUAGCUGCCGUGUACACAACCACACACUGAAACAAUCACACAACGCAUCACACACGCCCAUGCCACUCAUCUUACCACACCUCCGGCUCAUACCACACUCCACAGAAGAGAAUUCAAUCCACUACAGAAGAGAAUUCACUGCAGAACCACAUGCAAAGCCCAACGAGACAAGAGAGAAAGGGAGGGGAGAAAGGGAGAAAAACAACAAAAGGAGAGGAGCAAAAUGAAAGUGACAUAGGGGAGGUAUACAGGAUCAGGGGUUAGAGGUCAGAGGGUGGACUAAGGAGUGAGGGGAUAAAGAUGGUGAAUCUUACCAUCCCAUCAAAGCAACCAAUACCUGGAAAUUCCAACAUUAACAGAAAAGCCAGAUGGUUUGUGUGCAUUUAAUUUUAAAUUGAGGCAGUCUGUCUGUUUACACAUUUAUCCAUCAACACGAUUCCAUCCUGGAAGACGCCACAAAAACAGUUCAUCAAAUAAAUACAAAAUUGGGGCAACACAUAGAACGAAGUGUCCAGAGGAGAAACGUUCAGAAACAGACAGAAGUUGAACGUAUGGGACGUAAGCAGGACUUGUUCGGUCAUACAGGAGAAGGAGGAAAGUAGGAGAUUUCCCCCUUUUCAGAUUCAUCCAAAGAGUCCAGCAGGCUAUAAAGUCCCCUGACGUAUAGCCAAUUUAGUUUUACACUGAAAAGAGUAAAAAUAGGAGAGCGUUAGCGCAAAAAGGAGGAAGAGAACCUUUAACCCAAAAAAGGACUUAAAAUCAGAUUACAAUUUCACCAUUAUCAAAUACGCAAAUGUAACAUCAAAGACUAUGAUCAUCAAAUCCCUACAGGCUUAUCUCAUCAAAAUGACUUAUAAUGCCAACAGUGAAUUAGCAUUCUAGGUGUAAAGGGGCACUAAAAUGACAUCACCUGUUUCAGUUUGACGAGUGGCGUCAGUGUGGACAUUGAGUUUGGUAGGGAAUAAAGACUCUUUAAUAAAGAGGUACGGGUUUACGAGAGGUUGGGGGGGGGUUAACAGUGAGAGAAGAGGGUUUGAAGGGUGGGCACGUUUUGGGGUGGAUCAUACAGUAGGAAAGGAGUAGUGUCAAGGAGGGGAGCCCCCUGUUCUGAUUAACAGGUAUUUCAGCCAAUAGGAUCAGGUUAGGGUCAGACGGGAGAAGCUGGGUGGGGUGGGGCCAGAAAGGAGAGGCUGAGUUUUCUAGUUUCAGAAUCACUCCGAUAAAAAUGUCUAUAUCAAAGUCAUCAACAGGAGUAGGCCAUCUAGAGUUUACCAUCUAGAGAAACCAAGACAUUGUGUACAGGGAACAAACAUUGUGUACAGGGAACAGGUCCUCCCAAAUAUUACCGUCAACAGAAAGUUUUCCAUCAACUACAUGCUUUGGGUCCCCUAACAAUAUUUUUUCUGCCAAUGACAGAAAGCUAAGGCUUUGGGUUGUGAAACUUCCAAAACUAAGUCCAGAAAAUCAGAGCGCAGAACCUGUUCUUGACCUGACACCUUAUCCAGGUGUCAAUUCAAAUAAAUGGUCAUCUGUCUCAGACCAUUAUGCCAGUUCUACUAUAUGUAAAUAGAAAGCAUUUAAGGCCAGAAGGUUGGAAGCACUCAUUGCUGAUAAAUUGGCUGAAUUUUUUUGCAGAUGAGACAAAUGGCUCAGGCAGUUAUUAACCAGAACAGGGAGAUCUCAGAGUGGGCGUAAGAAGCUAUGUGAUUGGUGCUCUGCAGUGACUAACCAAUGAGGAUUUAGGAACCCUACAAUGAUUGGAGACAUCACUACUAACUAUACUGUAGAUUAUCAUCAUGGCAUUUCACAGCAUUUGGCUCAAUCAUUGAAAUAAAAUACAUGAAGACUCCACUCAUUUCAGAGCCCAUGAAUCCGCUCCUUUUCCCCACCAUUGGUCCUCAGAAUUCUGUGAAAUGCAGUUUUGUGGAUGUAUCUAGAGAAAAAUCUAGGUGUGAGUGCACCAAUAGAGAAACAUACAUUUCAAGGCAAUCAGUGAGAGAAUAAUCAAAUCCAUGCCAAGGUACCCUUAGUCUAAGACAACGUUUCAUUGGUCAUUCAGAAAGAGAGUCAUUUAACAGGCUGUGAGUUAUUAUAAAAAUGAAAGACAUUAGCCAGUAGAGCCACACAUAGGCACUCACCCUCCUCUUCCUCAUCCCUGCCUGAAAACAGACACAGAGAAGCACAGUGUCACAGAUUUACAGGGUUUUAUAUGGAUUAUAUACUGAACAAAAAUAUAAAACGCAACAUGUAAAGUGUUGGUCCCAUGUUUCAUGAGCUGAAAUAAAAUAAUCCAGAAAUGUUCCAUAUGCACAAAAAGCUUAUUUCUCUGAAAUGUGUUUAUAUCCCUGUUAGUGAGCAUUUAUCUUUUGCCAAGAUAAUCCAUCCACUUGACAGGUGUGGCUUAUCAAAAAGGUGAUUAAACAGCAUGAUCAUUACACAGGUGCACCUUGUGCUGGGGACAAUAAAAGGCCUUGCUCCCCAGUGGGUGGGCCUACGCCCUCCCAGGCCCACCCAUGGCUGCACCCCUGCCCAGCCAUGUGAAAUCCAUAGAUUAGGGCCUAAUAAAUGUAUUUCAACUGACUGAUUUCCUUAUAUGAACUGUAACUCAGUGAAAUCGUUGAAAUUGAUGCAUGUUGCAUUUAUAUUUUUGUUCAGUGUAAUAUAGGCUAUGGAGUAUAUGGAUGAGAGAUCUACACAAUGAUCCUGCUGCAUGUAAAAUCAGCAAAAAAAGAAAUGUCCCUUUUUCAGGACCCUGUCUUUCAAAGAUAAUUCGUAAAAAUCCAAAUAACAUCAGAGAUCUUCAUUGUAAAGGGUUUAAAUACUAUUUCCCAUGCUUGUUCAAUGAACCAUAAACAAUUCAUGAACAUGCACCUGUGGAACGGUCGUUAAGACACUUACAACUUACAGACGGUAGGCAAUUAAGAUCACAGUUAUGACAACUUACGAUACUAAAGAGGCCUUUGUACGGACUCUGAAAAACACCAAAAGAAAGAUGCCCAGGAUCCCUGCUUAUCUGCUUGAACGUGCCGUAGACAUGCUGCAAGGAGGCAUGAGGACUGCAGAUGUGGCCAGGGCAAUAAAUUGCUAUGUCCGUACUGUGAGACGCCUAAGACAUCGCUACAGGGAGACAGGACGGACAGCUGAUCGUCCUCGCAGUGGCAGACCACGUGUAACAACACCUGCACAGGACCUGUACAUCCGAACAUCACACCUGCGGGACAGGUACAGGAUGGCAACAACAACUGCCCGAGUUACACCAGAAACGCACAAUCCCACCAUCAGUGCUCAGACUAUCCACAAUGUGCUGAGAGAGGCUGGACUAAUGGCAUGUAGGCCUGUUGUAAGGCAGGUCCUCACCAGACAUCACCGGCAAAAAUGUCACCCAUGGGCACAAACCUACCGUCCCUGGACCAGAAAGGACUGACAAAAUGUGCUCUUCAUUGACGAGUCGCGGUUUUGUCUCACCAGGGGUGAUGGUCGGAUUCGCGUUUAUCAUCGAAGGAAUGAGCGUUACACCGAGGCCUGUACUCUGGAGUGGGAUCGAUUUGGAGGUGGAGUGUCUGGGGCGGUGUGUCACAGCAUUAUAGGACUGAGCUUGUUGUCAUUGCAGGCAAUCUCAACGCUGUGCGUUAUAGGGAAGACAUCCUCCUCCCUCAUGUGGUACCCUUCCUGCAGGCUCAUCCUGACAUGACCCUCCAGCAUGACAAUGCCACCAGACAUACUGCUCGUUCUGUGCGUGAUUUCCUGCAAGACAGGAAUGUCAGUGUUCUGCCAUGUCCAGCUAGGAGCCCGGAUCUCAAUCCCAUUGAGCACGUCUGGGACCUGUUGGAUCGGAGGGUGAGGGCUAGGGCCAUUCCCCCCCAGAAAUGUCCGGGAACUUGCAGGUGCCUUGGUGGAAGACUGGGGUAAAAUCUCACAGCAAGACCUGGCAAAUCUGGUGCAGUCCAUGAGGAGAUGCACUGCAGUACUUAAUGCAGCUGGUGGCCACAGCAGAUACUGACUGUUACUUUUGAUCCCCCCCUUUGUUCAGGGACACAUUAUUCCAUUUAUGUUAGUCACAUGUCUGUGGAACUUGUUCAGUUUAUGUCUCAGUUGUGGAAUCUUGUUAUGUUCAUACAAAUAUUUACAUAUGUUAAGUUUGCUGAAUAUAAACACAGUUGACAGUGAGAGGAGUUGUUCUUUUUUUGCUGAGUUUAUAUGAAUGAGGUUGCCGUAGUAUAUAUCUGUCUGAUCUGUACUCAGUUAUGAUAUUGGCAUGGUGUUUUAUUGUCCCCCACGAUGAAAUCUGGGAGGGGACUGUGGAUCUGUCUCCAUACGUCCAUUCGUUCGUCAGUCACACGUGAUAUCUCAGACAGCACUGGGCCGAUUUGGACAAAACUUGGGUGAAUGAUGAGUCUUGCCAUAGAGAUCCGUCAUUUACAAAAUUACACUGAUUUGCCCAAGUCGGGAGCUAUAGCAGUUAACUGGAAUGUGUUAGUCACACGCAAUCUCAGUUGGCCCCAUGGGGGGGGCGCUGCAUCAUUCGUGGGGUACGACAUGUUUAUUGUUGCCUUGUUUAUCUUUUCACACGUGUAUGAGCGUGCAUGAGCGUUUAUGGGUGAGAUAGCCAUGCGCUUGUGUGAUGAUAUCUGUGUAGUUGGAGUUUAGCGUCAUGGUGAAGUCUGCCAAAAUAAACAUCCAUUACAAGUGGACAAUAAAAGCUAGUUGUAUAUCUAAUCUCGUGUUUAUACAGCACCAGUAGAACGAUAUGGUUCUCCCCCAGUGUCAAUAAAUAACCAACUCCCUAGCCACUGUUGGAUGACAUAAUAGCUGCAAGCAUAAAUAGAAUAGUCUUGGACGGGAGAGUGUUUUUGUAAGCAGGAAGUGAUUUUGGCAGAGACGAAAAGGAGUGAUAGUGGGAUACGCAGGUCUCCGACAGCUGCCUGGACACUGAAUAGCAAUGACUUGGUUCGGCCAGAGAAUGUGAGGGGGGCUAGCCUGCUUGGCUAGAAGUCCAUGGUGGUCUGGCCAAAACUACUGACCACUUGUUAUUUCCACACACACACUGUUGGGCUGUCCUGACCCGCGGGCUGGCCUGUCUGUGUCAGAGUUAAUAAUACAUCAUGACAGGAGACACCCUCAGUGUGUGUGUGUGUCUAUUCUAAUGAACUCAGCAGGAUUUCCACUGCAGAAGGAAGGCUCUCCCAGAGGAGAAAAUAGGACACACACACUGAAUAGCCAUGCUACGGCUUUAGGCGCAUGAGCGUGUGUGUGCGGUCCUUCAGUGACAUUCCUCGGACAUGGUGAAAUAAGUCAAGGAUUAUCCAGGCCUCCUGUCCCACAAUCUCUAGCGUGGAUCACAUCCCUCUUUCUCUCACACACAGACAGGACAGAGCUACUGUGCCAACCAUGACUCACGAAUGGAGGGCUUAGGCCACUGUACUGAGAGGGGGGUUAUGGUGUGGGUUGGCAGCUGGUGGGAGUGUAGCAGGUUUCUAUUUUUUAUGCGCCAAUUGAAAAUGCAUUGCAACAGUGGACAAUGAAUAGUUACAGUUGAAGUCAGAAGUUUACAUACGCUUAGGUUGGAGUCAUUAAAACUUGUUUUUCGACCACUCCACAAAUAUCUUGUUUACAAACUGUAGUUUCGGCAAGUCGGUUAGGACAUCUGCUUUGUGCAUGACACAAGUCAUUUUUCCGACAAUUGUUUACAGACAGAUUAUUUCACUUAUAAUUCCCUGUAUCACAAUUCCAGUGGGUCAGAAGUAUACAUACACUAAAUUGACUAUGCCUUUAAACAGCUUGGAAAAUUCCAGAAAAUGAUGUCAUGUCUUUAGAAGCUUCUGAUAGGCUAAUUGACAUCAUUUGAGUCAAUUGGAGGUGUACCUGAGGAUGUAUUUCAAGGCCUACCUUCAAACUCAGUGACUCUUUGGUUGACAUCAUGGGAAAAUCAAAGGAAAUCAGCCAAGACCUCAGAAAACAAAUUGUAGACCUCCACAAGUCUGGUUCAUCCUUGGGAGCAAUUUCCAUCUGUACAAACAAUAGUACGCAAGUAUAAACACCAUGGGACAAUGCAGCCGUCAUCCCGCUCAGGAAGGAGAUGCGUUCUGUCUCCUAGAGAUGAACGUACUUUGGUGCGAAAAGUGCAAAUCAAUCCCAGAACAACAGCAAAGGACCUUGUGAAGAUGCUGGAGGAAACAGGUACAAAAGUAUCUAUAUACAAAGUAAAAAUGAAUCCUAUAUCGACAUAACCUGAAAGGCCUCUCAGCAAGGAAGAAACCACUACUCCAAAACCGCCAUAAAAAAGUCAGACUACGGUUUGCAAUUGCACAUGGGGACAAAGAUCAUACUUUUUGGAAAAAUGUCCUCUACUCUGAUGAAACAAAAAUAGAACUGUUUGCCCAUAAUGACCAUUGUUAUGUUUGGAGGAAAAAGGGGGAGGCUUGCAAGCCGAAGAACACCAUCCCAACCAUGAAGCACGGGGUGGCAGCAUCAUGUUGUGGGGGGGCUUUGCUGCAGGAGGGACUGGUGCACUUCACAAAAUUGAUGGCAUCAUGUGGAAUGAAAAUUAUGUGGAUAUAUUGAAGCAACAUCUCAAGACAUCAGUCAGGAAGUUAAAGCUUGGUCACAAAUGGGUCUUCCAAAUGGACAAUGACCCCAAGCAUACUUCCAAAGUUGUGGAAAAUGGCUUAAGGACAACAAAGUCAAGGUAUUGGAAUGGCCAUCACAAAGCCCUGACCUCAUCCUAUAGAAAAUUUGUGGGCAGAACUGAAAAAGCGUGUGCAAGCAAGGAGGCCUAAAAACCUGACUCAGUUACACCAGCUCUGUCAGGAGGAAUGGGCCAAGAUUCACACAACUUAUUGUGGGAAGCUUGUGGAAGGCUCACCGAAACGUUUGGUCCAAGUUAAACAAUUUAAAGGCAAUGCUAACAAAUACUAAAUGAGUGUAUGCAAACUUCUGACCCAUUGAGAAUGUGAUGAAAGAAAUAAAAGCUGAAAGAAAUCAUUCUCUACUAUUACUCUGACAUUUAACAUUCUUAAAAUAAAGUAGUGAUCCUAACUGACCUAAGACCGGGAAUUUUUACUUGGAUUAAAUGUCAGGAAUUGUGAAAACUGAGUUUAAAUGUAUUUGGCUAAGGUGUAUGUAAACUUCCGACUCCAGCUGUAUUUACAGUGAGUGUGUCACAGUCCUUAGUGUCAGGACCAAACCCAAACAGCGUCUUAUUCAACAACCUGUCAUGACAUGAUGGGUUAGUUGAGAUUGUGAGGUAAGAAUGUGGGUGAGAUUGUGAGGUAAGAUGGUGGGUGAGGUUGUGCGGUAAGAUGGUAGGUGAAGUUGAGGUAAAAUGGUGGGUGAGGUUGUGCGGUAAGAUGGUGGGUGAGGUUGUGCGGUAAGAUGGUGGGUGAGGUUGUGCGGUAAGAUGGUGGGUGAGGUUGUGCGGUAAGAUGGUGGGUGAGGUUGUGCGGUAAGAUGGUGGGUGAGGUUGUGCGGUAGGAUGGUGGGUGAGGUUGUGCGGUAGGAUGGUGGGUGAGGUUGUGCGGUAAGAUGGUGGGUGAGGUUGUGCGGUAAGACGGUGGGUGAGGUUGUGCAGUAAGAUGGUGGUUGAGGUUAUGCAGUAAGAUGGUGGGUGAGCUGAGACUGACUCUUGGGAGGCCAUGGUUUGGGCGACCACACAGUCUUGGGACGAGCGUUGAUAUCCGCUACACGGUCAUUGAAUCUGGCGUGGUCUGUGGUCACAGUGCUGUAUGU
ensembl:lncRNA